UCCCUGGUGGACUAGUGGCUAGCAUGCGGCGGUCUCAUUGCCGUAGUCCAAGUUCAAUUCCCGGUCAGGGAA